ensembl:snRNA U6 U6 spliceosomal RNA
UUGGCCACACAUAUAAUAAAUAUAAUAAAAUUGGAAAGACACAAAGAAGAUUAAUAUGGCCCCUGCACAAAGAUGACACACAAUGUUGUGAAGCCUUACAUAAUAAA